rnacentral:rRNA from 1 species
UACGAAGGGGACUAGCGUUGUUCGGAAUUACUGGGCGUAAAGCGCACGUAGGCGGAUUUGUAAGUCAGGGGUGAAAUCCCGGGGCUCAACCUCGGAACUGCCUUUGAUACUGGAGAGCUUGAGUCCGGAAGAGGUGAGUGGAACUCCGAGUGUAGAGGUGAAAUUCGUAGAUAUUCGGAAGAACACCAGUGGCGAAGGCGGCUCACUGGUCCGGUACUGACGCUGAGGUGCGAAAGCGUGGGGAGCAAACAGG